UACGGAGGGUGCAAGCGUUAAUCGGAAUUACUGGGCGUAAAGCGCACGCAGGUGGCUGAGAAAGUCGAUUGUGAAAGCCCUGGGCUUAACCUGGGAAUUGCAGUCGAAACUACUCGACUAGGGUAUGGGAGAGGACAGUGGAAUUCCCGGUGUAGCGGUGAAAUGCGUAGAUAUCGGGAGGAACAUCAGUGGCGAAGGCGGCUGUCUGGCCCAAUACUGACACUCAGGUGCGACAGCGUGGGGGGCAAACAGG
rnacentral:rRNA from 1 species